rnacentral:rRNA from 1 species
AUAUAAGUAAGCGGAGGAAGCUAAACUAAAUAGGACUUCCUGAGUAAUGGCGAAUGAACAGGAAAUAGCCCAGCAUGGAAAACAGAGCCUCCGGCUUUGAUGUGUAGUGUGGAUAUGCAUCGCCAACAAGGGUGCGGACAUAAGCCUCUUGGAACAGAGCACCACUGAAGGUGAGAGUCCUUGUAGAUUGUUUGCAACCCCUUGUGCACGGCAUGCAAUUUGAGAGUCACGUUCCUCGGAAUUGGAGCGCAAAGUGGGUGGUAAGCUUCAUCUAAUGCUUCGUAUGUGUUCGAGACCGAUAGCGCACAAGUA